rnacentral:lncRNA from 12 species
UACACAGGAGCAGCGAGCGAGGCCACUGGUGCCCGCCCAUUCCCUGGGCAGCGUCCCGCACCCCGGCUCCGGCCAGGCGCCGCCAGCGACCAGCGCGGCCGCGCGAGGGACACCCGCCCAGCAGCCGCGCCGCGUCCGAGCGCGCCCCCGCGCCCCCGGGAGCCGCCCUCGGCCGCGUCCGCAGGCGAGUACCCCCUCCCCUCCCCUCCGCCUCCCCUCCCCCGCCCCCGCCCCCGCCCCGCGGCCGCCGGGGCUCAGCCGCCGCCGGGAUGCCCCCCACCGCUCCCGGUCCUGCGGGCGAGGGGUGUGCGGGGUGCGGCGCGGCGCUGGCGCCGGGAUCUGCGCGCGGGCGGAGGCGGGGGGCCGCGAGAGGACGUGCGGGUUGAAGCUCCCCGCCCCCGUCUCCCUGUGCUUUCGGGGUGUACUUUGUUGGGCACUGGUAUCUUUCCUCUCUGGGGAUGCUUGGCGGACUUCUCUGCCUGGCAGCCCCCCGCGGGGGACCGCAGCGCAUCGCAGGGUGUCUCUUGGGGGAUCGCCUGGAAGAGGGUUCGGGCACGCACCUGGGGCAGCUACAGGUGCCCGUGGGAGCCGCCGUCCUUUUCCUACCUGGCCUGGCGCCUUCUCCCCCAAGGAAUAGGGGCUCUUUCACUUUCUGUUGAGCUCUUUAAAAGGGCCUCUGGUUUCUGCCGGCGCGGCCGGCGCUGGCGGCGGUGGGGAGGGCAGGAGCUCGUGCCCUGGGGCGAGGGAGGCGCCGGUGAGUUGCAGGCAGGUGGGGGUUGCGGGUCGGGUCCCCCGCGGGUCUCAGCUACGGGGCUGGCGAACCCCGCGCGGCCGGGAGCCCGAAGGGGCCCGCGGGCCACGGCCACCUGCGGGGCCUCGAUCUGCGCCCCCAGCGCCGAAGAGCCCUCCCUUUACCAGGCUGGGCGGCGUCCGUAUUCAAGGCUGCAGGGCUCUUCUAUAGGGAACUCAGCGAAGCCGAGCAGGAGAUCUUUAUGUUGGAUAAAGGCCACUGAAUUCCAGGCAUUCUUCGAGCUUGAGAAGGGUGUUCUCGGGACUGUUUUUGAAGUUUGCGGGAAGGCUUUCUGCGAAAAUGCCUCUCUGUCCACCGUCCUUACCGACGGUGGCACCUUCCUAGUCCCAGAGGUGGGUGGGGACACUUGGGAAGCCCCCGGCGUCGGGCACUGUGUGGAAGUUUCUCAACGCAUUUUUACGAACGGUGGUUGGUGGGUAAUUUCCGUCCUCAAUUAA